rnacentral:pre_miRNA from 1 species
CUACUGCGUAGCGUUGCACUAUUCAUGUCGAACGUUUGACCAUUCGUUUUAUUUGAAAAUUUUUUAUGAUUACUAUAUUUUUGUUAUUAUUAGAUGGUAAAAUAUAAAUAGUAUUUUAUGUGUGAUUUUUUAAUAUUUUUUCAAAUAAAACAAACGGUCACAUGUUGAACAUGGAUACUAAUGAAGACGGAGUUAUU